UACGAAGGGGGCGAGCGUUGUUCGGAAUUACUGGGCGUAAAGGGCGCGUAGGCGGCCGAUCAAGUCAGAUGUGAAAGUCCUGGGCUUAACCUGGGGACUGCAUUUGAUACUGAUUGGCUUGAAUUCGGGAGAGGAUAGCGGAAUUCCCGGUGUAGAGGUGAAAUUCGUAGAUAUUGGGAAGAACACCGGUGGCGAAGGCGGCUAUCUGGACCGACAUUGACGCUGAGGCGCGAAAGCGUGGGGAGCAAACAGG
rnacentral:rRNA from 1 species